AACGAACGCUGGCGGCAGGCCUAACACAUGCAAGUCGAGCGAAGCCUUCGGGCUUAGCGGCGGACGGGUGUGUAACGCGUGGGAACGUGCCCUUUGGUACGGAAUAGCACCGGGAAACUGGGAGUAAUACCGUAUGUGGUCGAGAGACGAAAGAUUUAUCGCCAAAGGAUCGGCCCGCGUUGGAUUAGGUAGUUGGUGGGGUAAUGGCCUACCAAGCCGACGAUCCAUAGCUGGUUUGAGAGGAUGAUCAGCCACACUGGGACUGAGACACGGCCCAGACUCCUACGGGAGGCAGCAGUGGGGAAUCUUAGACAAUGGGGGAAACCCUGAUCUAGCCAUGCCGCGCGAUCGAUGAAGGCCUUAGGGUUGUAAAGAUCUUUCAGUGGGGAAGAUAAUGACUGUACCCACAGAAGAAGCCCCGGCUAACUCCGUGCCAGCCGCCGCAGUAAGAC
rnacentral:rRNA from 1 species